rnacentral:lncRNA from 1 species
CAAGGGGAUGCCGAUGGCUCCAGCAAGUGGAAGUUGGAAGGAAAGCUAGGGAUGCCCAGACUCAUGGACUAAGAAGGGAAUAGAGUGAGAACAGCUCAUCAUAAAGUCAGAGAAUCCCAGAGUUGGAGGGGACUUUGAGGUUGCUUCUGCUAACCUCCCGGCCCCAACAGAAAUUCUUUCUACAAACACAUUUGGCGGAAGGUUUAUGAGGGAGGUUGUGUAGGGCCUGGAUUAGAGGGUGCGGUGCGGUCUACAUCCAAACCUAGCUGGCGGGGUAAUGUCUUCCACUAAACUUGUCGCCUUUGAUGCUGAAAUCACUCCAGUAAGGAAGUAUGGUCGGGUUUCCCGGAGGAAAAACACCGGGAGGGCUCUAUCCCAAGCAAAUACACACGCGCGCACAUUGAGGGUUGGUACAGGCUUUGAAAGAUAGAAUAUUGAAAUUCUUGUUUGGUCUUCUCUUUAAGGCAUUUACUUCCCUGUGCAGUUUAGCUGUGCUGCCACCAGGGGACAGAAGGAUGCCACUGUUUCCUAGGUUCCUGGAGCUCCACAAGAGACAGACAACUGAACUCUCACCUUGCACCAGGAGACAAAGGGACAUAUCACCAAGAGCUGUAUUCAGAAGUCUCCUCUCCAGCACACCCUGUUCAGCUCUUGGAGCAAGUGUAAUAAGAAGAAUCCACGGGGCUCCUGGGUGACCCAGUUGGUUGAACGGCCGCCUCAUGAUUUGGGCUCGGGUCAUGAUCCCAGAGUAUGGGAUCGAGCCCCGUGUUGGGCUCCAUGCUGAGCGCAGAGCCUGCUUAAGAUUCUGCCUCUCUCUGCCUCUGCCCUCUGCUUGUGCGCACUUGCUCUUUCUCUGAAAACAACAACAAAAAAAAAAAAAAGAAGGAAAAGAAAACAGAAAAAGAAUCCAGCUUUCUCAUUCAGAGUGGUUUUUUUCCACCUAUAAUGCUGCUUUAGGCUGACCAUCUACCUCAGCCUCCCCCCCCACUCCCCGCCCCCCGCUCCAUCACCAUUACACUCUCACAUCCAAUCUUCCUAGAUAAUCACAAGCACUCCCAGACUCAGUGGCCCUAUAUCUGGAAACCAUACUGCACUUUAGUUAAUGACUAUGCUUUAAACAUUUUGUUGAAGUAAAUGGAAUUACUAAAAUAGGUGUACAUUAUCUUCAGUGUUAACUGUUUAUUUAACAUCAUAACCUAAUUGUACUUUUAUAUACCGUCACUAAUCAAAAUUCUAGGUUUGAAAGGGGAAUCCUCCAGCAAGAUCAUCUUUUGAAGUAAACUUCUGCCCUGCAUCCCAGUGAAUUUUGGUAUCUCUAUUCAUUUACCUUGAUCGUCAUUGCUCUAUGAAGAUACAGGGUAGUAGUUAUGUUUUGUGGAAAACAUGCCAUCCACAUUUAAAUCCUAACUCCUUUGUUUCCUAGAUGUGUAACACUGGGAAAAUUGCUUAAUACCUCUAUGCUUCAAUUUCCUCCUCUGAAAAGCAGGAAUAAUAACUAUGAGGAAUAAAUGAGGUGAAGCAUAUAAAGUCCUCUGCA